rnacentral:rRNA from 1 species
GAUGAACGCUGGCGGCGUGCCUAAUACAUGCAAGUCGAGCGAACAGACGAGGAGCUUGCUCCUCUGACGUUAGCGGCGGACGGGUGAGUAACACGUGGAUAACCUACCUAUAAGACUGGGAUAACUUCGGGAAACCGGAGCUAAUACCGGAUAAUAUAUUGAACCGUAUGGUUCAAUAGUGAAAGACGGUUUUGCUGUCACUUAUAGAUGGAUCCGCGCCGCAUUAGCUAGUUGGUAAGGUAACGGCUUACCAAGGCAACGAUGCGUAGCCGACCUGAGAGGGUGAUCGGCCACACUGGAACUGAGACACGGUCCAGACUCCUACGGGAGGCAGCAGUAGGGAAUCUUCCGCAAUGGGCGAAAGCCUGACGGAGCAACGCCGCGUGAAUGAUGAAGGUCUUCGGAUCGUAAAACUCUGUUAUUAGGGAAGAACAAAUGUGUAAGUAACUAUGCACGUCUUGACGGUACCUAAUCAGAAAGCCACGGCUAACUACGUG